rnacentral:rRNA from 1 species
CAGUCGCCACGGGAAUACGUAGGGCGCAAGCGUUGUCCGGAAUUAUUGGGCGUAAAGAGCUCGUAGGCGGUCUGUCGCGUCUGGUGUGAAAUCCCGAGGCUCAACCUCGGGCUUGCAUCGGGUACGGGCAGACUAGAGUGCGGUAGGGGAGACUGGAAUUCCUGGUGUAGCGGUGGAAUGCGCAGAUAUCAGGAGGAACACCGAUGGCGAAGGCAGGUCUCUGGGCCGCAACUGACGCUGAGGAGCGAAAGCAUGGGGAGCGAACAGGAUUAGAUACCCGUGUAGUCCCUGUCUCUUAUAC